UACGUAGGGUGCGAGCAUUGUCCGGAAUUAUUGGGCGUAAAGAGCUCGUAGGCGGCCUGUCGCGUCGGAUGUGAAAGCCCGGGGCUUAACCCCGGGUCUGCAUUCGAUACGGGCAGGCUGGAGUUCGGUGAGGGGAGAUCGGAAUUCCUGGUGUAGCGGUGAAAUGCGCAGAUAUCAGGAGGAACACCGGUGGCGAAGGCGGAUCUCUGGGCCGAUACUGACGCUGAGGAGCGAAAGCGUGGGGAGCGAACAGG
rnacentral:rRNA from 1 species